ACAAAAACAAGGCAGGGAGCCGAAGUGUGUCUUUUCUCAAUCCUUUCACCCCCCCACUCAGGAUCACCAGGGCCUGAGUUUUGGCCGUAAGAAGUGGCGUCGUAACAGGACUGCGUUCGGGGUAAUUAAAAAGUGGUCAGGUGAAAGGAGGCUCCAAGGUGCGCAGAGAGUAAGCUUAAAAAGCAAAAGUAAGAAGGCCAAAAAACAAAAUGAGACCGAGAUUGUAAGCUCUUGCGGCAGCUGCAUUGUUUCUAGGCUUUGGUUAUCUUUGUGCGACCUGAUCGCUCCCUGGGACUCUGGGUCUGUGUGAGAUGCCAGACCCGGAGUGGGAAGUCUCCAGCUCUGCAGGACCCAGGGCUGCUCGUUCCCAUGCAGCAGCGG